rnacentral:rRNA from 1 species
AUUGAACGCUGGCGGCGUGCCUAAUACAUGCAAGUCGAGCGAACAGAUGAGAAGCUUGCUUCUCUGAUGUUAGCGGCGGACGGGUGAGUAACACGUGGGUAACCUACUUAUAAGACUGGGAUAACUCCGGGAAACCGGGGCUAAUACCGGAUAAUAUUUUGAACCGCAUGGUUCAAUAGUGAAAGGCGGUUUCGGCUGUCACUUAUAGAUGGACCCGCGCCGUAUUAGCUAGUUGGUAAGGUAACGGCUUACCAAGGCGACGAUACGUAGCCGACCUGAGAGGGUGAUCGGCCACACUGGAACUGAGACACGGUCCAGACUCCUACGGGAGGCAGCAGUAGGGAAUCUUCCGCAAUGGGCGAAAGCCUGACGGAGCAACGCCGCGUGAGUGAUGAAGGUCUUCGGAUCGUAAAACUCUGUUGUUAGGGAAGAACAAAUUUGUUAGUAACUGAACAAGUCUUGACGGUACCAAACCAGAAAGCCACGGCUAACUACGUGCCAGCAGCCGCCGUAA